rnacentral:rRNA from 1 species
UACAGAGGGUGCGAGCGUUGUUCGGAAUUAUUGGGCGUAAAGGGCGCGUAGGCGGUGCGGUAAGUCACCUGUGAAAUCUCCUGGCUCAACUGGGAGCUUGCAGGCGAAACUGCCGUGCUGGAGUGUGGGAGAGGUGCGUGGAAUUCCUGGUGUAGCGGUGAAAUGCGCAGAUAUCAGGAGGAACACCGAUGGCGAAGGCAGGUCUCUGCGCCACUACUGACGCUGAGAAGCGAAAGCAUGGGGAGCGAACAGG